CAUUCUGUGGCACAGCUCAGGUGUUAUGAGAGCCCAGGUUGCUCUGAUAGUGGCCUUCAGCUCUUCUGCCUUGUUGGGUCAGGCAAGUUUGCUGGCCAAUUAAGAACUGGGAUACCAUGGUCCUUAAACCAGGUACUGGUAGCUUUGGCACUGUGUGCAGGUACCAAAUCCUGUUGGAAAAUUAAAUCUGCAUCUCUAUAAAGUUGAUCAGCAGCAGGAAGAAUGAAGUGCUCUAAAAAUUCCUGGUAGACGGCUGCGUUGACCCUGGACCUCAGAAAACACAGU